rnacentral:rRNA from 1 species
GAUGAACGCUGGCGGCGUGCCUAAUACAUGCAAGUCGAGCGAACAGACGCUGAGCUUGCUCCGCUGACGUUAGCGGCGGACGGGUGAGUAACACGUGGAUAACCUACCUAUAAUACUGGGAUAACUUCGGGAAUCCGGAGAUAAUAGCGGAGAAUAUAUUGAACCGCAUGGGUCAAUGGUGAAAGUCGGUGUUUCUGUAACGACUAGAUGGAUCCGGGCCGCAUUAGCUAGUUGGUAAGGUCACGGCUUACCAAGGGAACGAUGCGUGGCCGACCGGAGAGGGUGGUCGGCCACACUGGAACGGAGCCAGGGUCCAGGCUCCUACGAGAGGCCGCAGUAGGGAAUCGUCCGCAGUGGUCGAAAGCCUUGCGCAGCAGCGGCACGUGAGUGAUGAAGGUCUUCGGUUCGGAAAACCCUGUUAUUGGUGAAGAACAACUGUGUAAGUAGCUAUGGCCGUCGUGACGGUACUGAGUAAGAAAGCCACGGCUAACUACGUG